rnacentral:tRNA from 1 species
GGGCCCGUAGCUCAGCGGUAGAGCGCCCGGCUGUUAACCGGAAGGUCCUGGGUUCAAAUCCCAGCGGGCCCG